CAUGGCUUCGACGGGUAGCCGGCCUGAGAGGGCGACCGGCCACAUUGGGACUGAGAUACGGCCCAGACUCCUACGGGAGGCAGCAGUGGGGAAUAUUGCACAAUGGGCGCAAGCCUGAUGCAGCGACGCCGCGUGCGGGAUGACGGCCUUCGGGUUGUAAACCGCUUUUGACUGGGAGCAAGCCCUUCGGGGUGAGUGUACCUUUCGAAUAAGCACCGGCUAACUACGUGCCAGCAGCCGCGGUAAUACGUAGGGUGCAAGCGUUAUCCGGAAUUAUUGGGCGUAAAGGGCUCGUAGGCGGUUCGUCGCGUCCGGUGUGAAAGUCCAUCGCUUAACGGUGGAUCCGCGCCGGGUACGGGCGGGCUUGAGUGCGGUAGGGGAGACUGGAAUUCCCGGUGUAACGGUGGAAUGUGUAGAUAUCGGGAAGAACACCAAUGGCGAAGGCAGGUCUCUGGGCCGUCACUGACGCUGAGGAGCGAAAGCGUGGGGAGCGAACAGGAUUAGAUACCCUGGUAGUCCACGCCGUAAACGGUGGAUGCUGGAUGUGGGGACCAUUCCACGGUCUCCGUGUCGGAGCCAACGCGUUAAGCAUCCCGCCUGGGGAGUACGGCCGCAAGGCUAAAACUCAAAGAAAUUGACGGGGGCCCGCACAAGCGGCGGAGCAUGCGGAUUAAUUCGAUGCAACGCGAAGAACCUUACCUGGGCUUGACAUGUUCCCGACAGCCGUAGAGAUACGGUCUCCCUUCGGGGCGGGUUCACAGGUGGUGCAUGGUCGUCGUCAGCUCGUGUCGUGAGAUGUUGGGUUAAGUCCCGCAACGAGCGCAACCCUCGCCCUGUGUUGCCAGCACGUCGUGGUGGGAACUCACGGGGGACCGCCGGGGUCAACUCGGAGGAAGGUGGGGAUGACGUCAGAUCAUCAUGCCCCUUACGUCCAGGGCUUCACGCAUGCUACAAUGGCCGGUACAACGGGAUGCGACCUCGUGAGGGGGAGCGGAUCCCUUAAAACCGGUCUCAGUUCGGAUUGGAGUCUGCAACCCGACUCCAUGAAGGCGGAGUCGCUAGUAAUCGCGGAUCAGCAACGCCGCGGUGAAUGCGUUCCCGGGCCUUGUACACACCGCCCGUCAAGUCAUGAAAGUGGGUAGCACCCGAAGCCGGUGGCCCAACCUUUUUGGGGGGAGCCGUCUAAGGUGAGACUCGUGAUUGGGACUAAGUCGUAACAAGGUAGCCGUACCGGAAGGUGCGGCUG
rnacentral:rRNA from 1 species